rnacentral:rRNA from 1 species
UACGAAGGGGGCUAGCGUUGUUCGGAUUUACUGGGCGUAAAGCGCACGUAGGCGGAUUGUUAAGUUAGGGGUGAAAUCCUGGGGCUCAACUCCAGAACUGCCUCUAAUACUGGCAAUCUAGAGUCCGGAAGAGGUAAGUGGAACUCCUAGUGUAGAGGUGGAAUUCGUAGAUAUUAGGAAGAACACCAGUGGCGAAGGCGGCUUACUGGUCCGGUACUGACGCUGAGGUGCGAAAGCGUGGGGAGCGAACAGG